UACGUAGGGUGCGAGCGUUAAUCGGAAUUACUGGGCGUAAAGCGUGCGCAGGCGGUUUUGUAAGCCAGAUGUGAAAUCCCCGGGCUUAGCCUGGGAAUGGCAUUUGGGACUGCAAGGCUGGAGUUUGGCAGAGGAGACUGGAAUUCCUGGUGUAGCAGUGAAAUUCGUAGAUAUCAGGAGGAACACCAGUGGCGAAGGCAGCCCCCUGGGUCAACACUGACGCUCAUGCACGAAAGCGUGGGGAGCAAACAGG
rnacentral:rRNA from 1 species